GUCAAAUCGUGGCUUGGGACUGACUCAGAUCUUCCUGUGGGAUCCAUCUGCACAUAAAUGUCUUCACACCUUGGCAGUUCUAAAACACCAUCAUCCAAAGGGGAUGGAAGAAUAAAAGGUCCAGGUUAAGAUGUACAUGGAAGGGCAAAAAAAAUGGAAAGGGGGGAUAGUCAGUACCCUCCUGCUCACAUUUGCCUUUUGAUUUUCUCUACAGUAUUAUCCAGGGUACACCCGAUUCUGGUGGAUAUUCAGGAUAUCAACCAUCUGGUAUGGGUCCUUCAAGGCCAGACCCUCACAGCUGUCCCGAGGAAGGACCAAAUGGAUCCAGUCACUGUUACCUUAAUCUCAUGCAAGUACACAGAGACUCUUGAGAAGGGCAGGGGGAAUCCUGUCUACUUGGGACUGAAGGAGCCGGAGCUUUGCCUAUUCUGCACAAAGGUCGAGGGGCAGCCCACUCUGCAGCUUCAGGAACGGAAUAUAAUGGAUCUGUACCACCAAACUGAGCCUGUGAAGCCUUUUCUCUUCUACCAUGACCAAAAUGGCAGGGCCUCCAGCUUUGAGUCUGUGGCCUUCCCUGGCUGGUUCAUCGGCUCCUGCUCCAAUGGAGGCUGUCCUGUGAUUAUCACCCAGGAAUUGGGGAAAAUCUACACUACUGACUUUGGGUUCACAGUGCUCCAGGCUUAA
rnacentral:lncRNA from 1 species